rnacentral:misc_RNA from 1 species
AAGUCGUAACAAGGUAACCGUAGGUGAACCUGCGGUUGGAUCAUUAACAAAUUCAACCAAAAGCAAGUCUGGUGCGGUGGGUAACACUGCCCGCCUGGCUUCUUUUACACACAAUGUGAACCGUUUAUUGUCUCUGGUGGCGUUAAAAGCUCGCGGCAUGGGUCUUAAAAAACCCGCGUCGCCGAGUGGGUCAAGCUGGUGCGUGCACCGGCCGACGCCUACCCACCGCAAACCUAAACUAUUACCUAUACAAUCGGCCUUUAUAUCUUUAAAAAAAGUUAAUUAAACAACAACUUUUGGCAACGGAUCUCUAGGCUCUU